UUUCUUUCAUCAGUUUGAAAUAUAUUCUGCUAGGUUUCUCUUUUCAAAUAGUAUUUUCAGUUUCACUUAUUUAGUAUUCACCGCGGCCACUCGAACGCUUGCUUAAGUAAGCAGUGAAAGUGUAUACUUCCGGUGUCUGCCGCUGGAGGCCUGUUAGGUAACGUUUCCAAGAAAGAUCACAAAAGCGUGUGAUUUUGUCUGCAAAUUUUCAGUACACAUUUCUCACAGAACGAACACUCGCAGCCUCCCUCCGCUACUUCAGUCGGCCGCGCCAUGGGCUGGGAAGGGUCCAGUUUAGCGGUACAGCCCCCAGGCUCACCCAGCCGCUAAGGAAUCAUCCUGCGGCCGUAGUAUCCCACACUACCUGCUAGACACCAGCCUAGCAACGUACUAUUCGACGUGCAGGUCACCGAGAGGAUGACAUCGUAGGUGGAGCGGGGAGCGAGCGAGUACUGGCUGUUUCAUCAGUUCUCCAGACACGAGACGCUGAGUGUCAAGGUGACAUGUUUUUUCCAACAUUGAAGACUCACUGGCUUCCAAGGGCACUGGACACCCCUCAAGAGUUAUACGGAAUACUUAGUUUUCAUAUAAUCCAUAUACUUUUUUUUACGUAGUAAAAUUUUAACCCGGUAGCAGCAGGGAUCAUGUUUCUUAAUGGUCCAUCCAAGUGAGAAAAAUGAGAAAAAAUCACCCCUCACACAAACCAUUUCAUAAUAUAUAUUAAAGUAUUUGUGAUCAGAUUAUGUAUCAUCUAUUUUUGGGGGUUUAUAACAUGGCACAAAUUUGGCCCGUCGCUGCUACACGGUAAAGCCACAAAUUUGGCCCGUCACUGCUUCCAGGUUAAGUUAAGUAUUUUUUGGAAGUUUUUUUGAUUUUCAUAAUACAUAGAAAUGUGAAUUUUUUUUUACAGAAAUUUUUCCUCAAAUAUGUUCACAAAUACUUAUUUUUGUAAACCAAUACUCUUCAAAUGCAGUAAAGUAUGUAGUAGUUUUUUCUUAUUCUUCUGGUUAUUUAAGUCUACAUAUUUCUUAUUUUCCUUAACCCUAGAAUGGAAACCCCAUGCCAUUUGACACAUAUGAAUUUUAUAAUAAUUUAAUUUUAAUUUUAUUUAAAUUUCAUUAUAUAUUUUUUAUUUUUCCAAAGAGCGGUGCCAAAUGUCAAAGGGUUUCCCUGCACCAUCAUGAAAAUGAGGGUUUCCAUUAUAGGGUUAACUUAGAUCUUAGAAUAAAAAGAUAAAAUAGAAAGCAGGCAAGGCAUUGGCACACUAAUAUGGGGCUAACAAAGUAAAUAUCAUGCAAGUAGAAAUUCUAAAGAGUUGUCAAACAGUGGCUGCUUUAAAGCACAACAAAGUGAUAUAGUGGAUGAGACAGGGGUUAAGGAAACGGAUACAAUAAUUUUUUUUCUUUCUUUCUUUUCUUUCUUUUUUUUUUUUUUUAUGUUUCGCCUAUGGCACUGGCAGGCUUUCUUGGUGGGGCUUGCUUGUUGGCUCCAUCCCAUUCUGGCCCAGGCAAGUGUUUAUACUGGCGCCAUCAUGCUUGACUCGUGCUGUCCCCAAGGGCUCAUCUUUAAUCUCCAAUUUUAAGAAAGAAUCUAAAGUCCAGGCUGACAUGUGGACUUCAGGACAGCAUGUGGGUAGUCUUAGGAUGGAAGAUGAAGUGUAUGAUCAUGAGCUUAUUCAGAAGUUCAAAAUAACCUCACAUCUUUGCAUUGUGAAGACAGCUGAACUUGAUGAAAUGCCAGAAUUUUCUCUUUACUACACUCCAACAUGACCUCUGCGUGUAAUGAAACACACGAGAAAUUAACCCAGAUAAGGAAAGGUUUUGCCGGUGCCGGGGAUCGAACCCGCGACCAGCGAGAUGGGAGAGCCAUUCCUUAACCUGUCGGCCAAAGAGGUACCCCACUCGCAGAGUGAGUUAUGGGAGGCUCGCCUAUUAGGCAGGUUGCUGCACUACAUUGAUACUCCACAUUAAUAUUAACACAUAAAACUCUUAAACUUAUAAUAAAAAUUAUUUAUGUCUGCUGUUAUUGAUUGAUAGGGGUAUGUCGUCAUGGCACUGCAACCGCUAUGGUUAUAAGGUGGCAAUUAGUGCUAGGA